AGCGAACGCUGGCGGCAGGCCUAACACAUGCAAGUCGAACGGACCCUUCGGGGUUAGUGGCGGACGGGUGAGUAACACGUGGGAACGUGCCCUUUGGUUCGGAACAACUCAGGGAAACUUGAGCUAAUACCGAAUGUGCCCUUCGGGGGAAAGAUUUAUCGCCAUUGGAGCGGCCCGCGUCUGAUUAGCUAGUUGGUGGGGUAAUGGCCUACCAAGGCUACGAUCAGUAGCUGGUCUGAGAGGAUGAUCAGCCACAUUGGGACUGAGACACGGCCCAGACUCCUACGGGAGGCAGCAGUGGGGAAUCUUGCGCAAUGGGCGAAAGCCUGACGCAGCCAUGCCGCGUGAAUGAUGAAGGUCUUAGGAUUGUAAAAUUCUUUCACCGGGGACGAUAAUGACGGUACCCGGAGAAGAAGCCCCGGCUAACUUCGUGCCAGCCGCCGCAGUAAUAC
rnacentral:rRNA from 1 species